rnacentral:rRNA from 1 species
UACAGAGGUCCCAAGCGUUGUUCGGAUUCACUGGGCGUAAAGGGUGCGUAGGUGGUGAGGUAAGUCGGAUGUGAAAGCUCCGAGCUCAACUCGGAAAUGGCAUUGGAAACUACCUUGCUAGAGGGUUUGAGGGGGGACUGGAAUACUUGGUGUAGCAGUGAAAUGCGUAGAUAUCAAAGUGGAACACCAGUGGCGAAGGCGAGUCCCUGGAAAACUCCUGACACUGAGGCACGAAAGCUAGGGGAGCAAACAG